UGCGUAGGCGGUUCCUCAAGUCCGUUGUGAAAGCCCCGGGCUCAACCUGGGAAUGGCAGUGGAAACUAGGGGACUGGAAUCUGGCAGAGGGGGGUGGAAUGCCGCGUGUAGCAGUGAAAUGCGUAGAGAUGCGGCGGAACACCGAUGGCGAAGGCAGCCCCCUGGGCUGAGAUUGACGCUCAGGCACGAAAGCGUGGGGAGCAAACAGGAUUAGAUACCCUGGUAGUCCACGCCCUAAACGAUGGCAACUAGGUGUUGGGGAAGCGAUUUCCUGGUACCGCAGCUAACGCGUGAAGUUGCCCGCCUGGGGAGUACGGUCGCAAGAUUAAA
rnacentral:rRNA from 1 species